CAUCCUUUCUCUUUUUGUAGAGUCCUUGGGGUACAGCAUUACUGGUGAGCUGCUUCUUGGGGACCAUUCUUCUCCAGUCUGACUCUGCUCUGCUGCCAGUGAUCAUGUUGCUUGAAGCGGUUACCAUCCUUGAUGUCUUUCUCUCUGUAUUCAUAUCUGUCUGAAGUAGCUAUCUUUGCUCCCUUCUGGAUGCAGUGUCUGAAAAUGGUCCAGCAGCUUCCCUUUCCAAAUUACAUGGCCAAGAGGCAGGGGAAAAGAGGAGGAUUUCCUUUUCUUCCUCUCACAGAGGUCUCAAGACCUCCUCAGGAAAAACCCAACCCUCAAACUUCAAGAAGUCAGCAUGGAUCAGUGGAAGGAACACUGCUUCUAGAGUUGGAGGACCUAGGGUUAGACCCUGUUUCUCUACUUUCUGUUGGGUUAGAUCCUGUUUCUUCACUUUCUGUCAGGUUAGACCCUGUUUCUCCACUUUCUGUUGGUGUAACCUUGGGCAAGUGAUUUAACUUUUCUGGUUAAGUUCCUCCCUCCUCAUCUGUCAAAUGAAGGACUUGGACUGGAUGGUCUCUGAAGUGAUGCAAUGGAUAGAGUGCCAGUACUAGAGUCAGGAAGACCCAAGUUCAAAUAUAACUUUAUAUAUUUACUAAUUGACCUCACUUGCACAAUGGAGGUAAUAAUAGCAUCUCCUUCCAGGAUUAUUAUGAGGAACGAAUGAAAUAAUAAUUGUGAAGCACUUAGCCUGACACAAGGAGAGACCAAACCAAAUGGACAACUUGGUUCUGCUUAAUUAAUAUCAAACAAGGUAUCACACAUGGACAAUACACAAGCUAAAGGUGUUCGCCACUGAUAUAAAGUAGUUCAUCUCUGAAAUGUCUGCCUGUUCCUGUUCUGGAAAGAUAUUAUAAAGUCCCAGAACAUGACAGAACUCCUUCAAAGAGAUUCACUCAAAAGAGUUCAACACAGGAAAAAACAAAUGGAAGACAAAUGUUUAUUGCCUACACUAUAAAAUGCAGUUAGAUUGAUAGUCCAUUGAAUGAUGCUAUCAAUACAUUUAUCCUGGGCAGUCACUAAUAGUGGAAAAUGGACUCAGAAUUGAAUAGAAGGAAGAAAAGUCACUGGAUUGCAUAUCAGAAAUAACAGUAAUUUUAACCUAAUAUAUGCAAAAAAAUCUUUUCAAUAGCACAUUUUCCUGGUGAUGCUAUAUGGCUAUGAAUCAUGGAGAAUCAUUUGAAGAAUUAAGCUGCAAGUGAUCUAAAGGGUCAGAGAAGAACAGUGGUUUUCAGCAGGUUUCUGCACAUUACCAAUAUUGUCUUGCUUGGAAAAAGUGCCUAAAAGAUAUCACGUAGAAAAUGUAUGGUUAGAAAAGAGAUGGAUUGGUCAUUUAGCAAGAGAACAGUAACAGACCAAGUACCACUUUGAUACUCACAGAAUAUCAAAAUGCCAAAAGUAAGACCUUCAGAAAUUGGGUAAAUCUUCCACAGAGGAUUUAUGAGAGGAUGUA
rnacentral:lncRNA from 1 species